rnacentral:rRNA from 1 species
CUACGGGCUGCUGCAGUGAGGAAUAUUGCACAAUGGGGGGAACCCUGAUGCAGCAACGCCGCGUGGAGGAUGACGCAUUUCGGUGUGUAAACUCCUUUUAUAUGUCAAGAAAAUGACGGUAGCAUAUGAAUAAGCACCGGCUAACUCCGUGCCAGCAGCCGCGGUAAUACGGAGGGUGCAAGCGUUACUCGGAAUCACUGGGCGUAAAGGACGCGUAGGCGGGUUGGAAAGUCAGGUGUGAAAUCCUACAGCUUAACUGUAGAACUGCACUUGAAACUUCUAAUCUAGAGUAUGGGAGGGGGAGAUGGAAUUAGUGGUGUAGGGGUAAAAUCCGUAGAUAUCACUAGGAAUACCUAAAGCGAAGGCGAUCUCCUGGAACAUUACUGACGCUAAGGCGUUAAAGCGUAGGGGAGCAAACAGGAUUAGAUACCCCUGUAGUC